rnacentral:rRNA from 1 species
CUUGGCGGCCUUAGCGCGGUGGUCCCACCUGACCCCAUGCCGAACUCAGAAGUGAAACGCCGUAGCGCCGAUGGUAGUGUGGGGUCUCCCCAUGCGAGAGUAGGGAACUGCCAGAC